ACACUGGUCUCGGCUCUCUUAGCUAAGAUCAUGUGUAGUAUCUGUUCUUUGCAGUGUAAUUUCUGCAACGGUCUCAUAAUUGAGACCAGCGAAAUUACCUGUAUUUUUCCCUACCGGACGGGUGAUAUUAGCUUGCUCAACCCCGUCCACGGGUCGGCCUCGUAUUGUAUUACCUCGAGAAUUGGCCCAUAUUCU
rnacentral:snRNA from 1 species